GAUGAACGCUAGCGGCAGGCUUAACACAUGCAAGUCGAGGGGUAUAGUUUUUCGGAACUAGAGACCGGCGCACGGGUGCGUAACGCGUAUGCAAUCUACCUUUUGCAGAGGGAUAGCCCAGAGAAAUUUGGAUUAAUACCUCAUAGUAUAGCGACAUCGCAUGAUGAUGCUAUUAAAGUCACAACGGCAAAAGAUGAGCAUGCGUCCCAUUAGCUAGUUGGUAAGGUAACGGCUUACCAAGGCAACGAUGGGUAGGGGUCCUGAGAGGGAGAUCCCCCACACUGGUACUGAGACACGGACCAGACUCCUACGGGAGGCAGCAGUGAGGAAUAUUGGACAAUGGGCGCAAGCCUGAUCCAGCCAUGCCGCGUGCAGGAUGACGGUCCUAUGGAUUGUAAACUGCUUUUAUACGAGAAGAAACACUCCAACGUGUUGGAGCUUGACGGUAUCGUAAGAAUAAGGAUCGGCUAACUCCGUG
rnacentral:rRNA from 2 species